AUGGUGGGAGGUGAGUCUGCUUAUCCCAAACAGCCAGAGCCUAGCAGUGCCUUGAGUGGGACUGGGGCAUCCUUACUCCUCCCUGCCCUCUGCCGCCUACCCUGUCUAGCUUCAGACUGUGGGUCCCUGGAGGCUCCAGCCUCCGUCAGCCUGCUGCCCCAAGGAGGGGGCAUGGCUGCAAAGUCAGGACCUGUGGCGGUGGUGGAGACAAGAGGUACAGAGGAGGAAAGGCAACAGGGACAGUCCCCCGAUGAGGAAGAUGAAGGUUCUGACAAGACCUCUCAGGAUGCUGGCUGCACCCCACAGCCCACUCCCCAGCAGGUCCCUGGCCCAGCCCCUCCGGAUGGCCUGUUUGGCUCCUACCAGGUGCCGCCGGUAGGAAGGCAGGGCAGUCCCGUUCCCCACUCUCCACACAGCCUCUUCCAGCCAUCGAAAUGCCUACCUGGGCCCGUGUGGGCACCAAGCUGCGGGCAGGUAGGAGUUUACUGCCCCCGCUGGGCCAGGCCAGGGCUGGAGGGGCUGGCUGUCCUCCUUCUCCUCCGUGGUGGCGGGCGGAGAGGGGGCCUGGCGCCGGGCUGGGGGCUCUGUCCUCUAGGGUUCCCUCCACUGCUCACUCAGGAAGGCAGCAGCGCCAGAACUGCAGGAGCCAGCUCCCUCCACUGCUGCCUCCUCCCCACUCCCCCCUCCCGACCCACCUCCUUCUCCAGCCACCCACCUCCUUCUGCUCGUUUCUAUGGCAACUGGGCAAUGCUCUGCACAGACAGCCUCCCUCCCAUGUACAGCAGGGGACGCCCGCCUCCUGCACGGCGCCGCAUCAACAUGGGCACACACGCACACACCUCACGGCCACAGACAGGCUGGUGGGUACACAGGCUCAGCCGCCGCCCUCGCCUGGGGAGCCCUGCUCCAUCCCCUUUCUCCCCUUUCUCCCCAAGAUCCCACCUCCCAACCAUCCUUCCAGACAGCUGCACAUUUCUAUGCACUUCGCUUGGGUCCUUAAAAUCUCAGCGCAUGCUGCUCUGUGAGGCAUUUCUAUUUGUUUAA
rnacentral:lncRNA from 1 species